AGGCGUACUUAAAAGUUAAUGGCAAUAACUGCGGUAUGAUGCAUCUGUGAACGUUGUGUUUUAUGACUUUACAGCCGCUUGGAUUCGGACAUUCUUUCCCUGAUGAUGCCUGACAGUUCCGUCCUUCCUGAGGUGCACGUGUGUCUGACCUUGGACGUUCUCCUGGACCCUUUGGUUCUGCGGUUGUCCCCCUUGUUGGAGUUUCUUCUGAAGAUAAGCCAGGAGCUGAGCGGAGACACCCGGGACAGGUCGGAGGAUGCCGGCUCCUGGAGGACAAAGUCAUAGCAGGUGUGACGUCCUACCAGGAUCUCAGUGUUGACGUCGUCCUCCUCCAGCAUCUCCUGACUCUCUACGCCGUCGACCUCCUCGAUGCUCGCUGCCUCUGCCGCCAU